ACCUGGAAGCGAUAAGCAGCUAAUGUUUUCACAGCGAUGUAGAAAAGGUCAACGCAAAAUGCAAUUGAAAAGUUGAUUCAGGACAGGACAGAUGAAAUUCAUGGAAAUGGAUGAUACGGGGAUGAGUUUGGAUGAUUUUCAGCGAUGGACAGCGGUGAAUUUAAAAGCAUUUUUGAAGAAACAAGGAAAAGAAAAGAGGAGUUGGCGGCACGAG